rnacentral:rRNA from 1 species
UACGGGGGGAGCAAGCGUUGUUCGGAUUUACUGGGCGUAAAGGGCGCGUAGGCGGCCAGCACAAGUCAGUUGUGAAAUCUCCGGGCUUAACUCGGAAAGGUCAACUGAUACUGUGCGGCUAGAGUGCAGAAGGGGCAACUGGAAUUCUCGGUGUAGCGGUGAAAUGCGUAGAUAUCGAGAGGAACACCUGCGGCGAAGGCGGCUUUCUGGCCUGUUCUUGACGCUGAGGCGCGAAAGCUAGGGGAGCGAACGGG